AACGAACGCUGGCGGCAGGCCUAACACAUGCAAGUCGAACGCCCUAGCAAUAGGGAGUGGCGCACGGGUGCGUAACGCGUGGGAAUAUGCCCUUCACUGCGGAAUAACGUUUGGAAACGAACGCUAAUACCGCAUAAUGACUCCGGUCCAAAGAUUUAUCGGUGAAGGAUUAGCCCGCGUUAGAUUAGCUAGUUGGUGAGGUAAUGGCUCACCAAGGCGACGAUCUAUAGCUGGUCUGAGAGGAUGAUCAGCCACACUGGGACUGAGACACGGCCCAGACUCCUACGGGAGGCAGCAGUGAGGGAUAUUGGACAAUGGGCGCAAGCCUGAUCCAGCCAUGCCGCGUGAGUGAAGAAGGCCUUCGGGUUGUAAAGCUCUUUCAGAUGUGAAGAUAAUGACGGUAGCAUCAGAAGAAGCCCCGGCUAAAUUCGUGCCAGCAGCCGCGGU
rnacentral:rRNA from 1 species